rnacentral:rRNA from 1 species
CGCGGCCUAUCAGCUUGUUGGUGAGGUAACGGCUCACCAAGGCUGUGAUGGGUAGGCGAGUUGAGAGAUUGACCGCCCACACUGGGGCUGAGACACUGCCCAGACUCCUACGGGAGGCUGCAGUCGAGAAUAUUCCGCAAUGGUCGAAAGACUGACGGAGCGACGCCGCGUGGGGGAUGAAGGUCCGUGGAUUGUAAACCCCUGUCAACUGUUAUGAAUGAGGUAGGGUUAAGAGCUAUGCCUUUGACAAAAGCAGAAGUAGGAAGCCACGGCUAAUUACGUGCCAGCAGCCGCGGUAAUACGUAGGUGGCAAGCGUUGCUCGGAAUUAUUGGGCAUAAAGGGUCCGUAGGCGGUCAGAUUAGUCGGGUGUGAAAUCCCCGGGCUCAACCCGGGAACUGCGCCCGAAACUGUCUGACUUGAGCGCUGGAGGGGAGUAUGGAACUCCUGGUGGAGCGGUGAAAUGCGUAGAGAUCAGGAGGAACGCCGGUGGCGAAAGCGAUACUCUGGACAGUGGCUGACGCUGAGGGACGAAAGCUAGGGUAGCGAACGGGAUUAGAUACCCCGGUAGUCCUAGCCGUAAACGAUGGGCACUAGGUAUGAGAUUAAUCCGAUUAAUUUCGUGCUGAAGCUAAUGUAUUAAGUGCCCCGCCUGGGGAGUACGG